GUCUACAGCCAUGUCACCCUGAACAAGCUUGAUGCCAUCUGAUCUCAGAAGCUAAGCAGGGUCAGGCCUGGUUAGUACUUGGAUGGGAGACCACCUAGGAAGACCAGGUGCUAUAGGCG
rnacentral:rRNA from 1 species